rnacentral:rRNA from 1 species
GUCGAGGGGUAGAAGCUUUCGGGCUUUGAGACCGGCGCACGGGUGCGUAACGCGUAUGCAAUCUGCCUUGUACUGAGGGAUAGCCCAGAGAAAUUUGGAUUAACACCUCAUAGCAUUUUAGUGUGGCAUCACAUUAUUAUUAAAGGUUACGGUACAAGAUGAGCAUGCGUCCCAUUAGCUAGUUGGUAUGGUAACGGCAUACCAAGGCUACGAUGGGUAGGGGUCCUGAGAGGGAGAUCCCCCACACUGGUACUGAGACACGGACCAGACUCCUACGGGAGGCAGCAGUGAGGAAUAUUGGUCAAUGGGCGAGAGCCUGAACCAGCCAUGCCGCGUGCAGGAUGAAGCAUCUAUGGUGUGUAAACUGCUUUUGUACGGGAAGAAACACUCCCUCGUGAGGGAGCUUGACGGUACCGUAAGAAUAAGGAUCGGCUAACUCCGUGCCAGCAGCCGCGGUAAUACGGAGGAUCCAAGCGUUAUCCGGAAUCAUUGGGUUUAAAGGGUCCGUAGGCGGUUUUAUAAGUCAGUGGUGAAAUCCGGCAGCUCAACUGUCGAAUUGCCAUUGAUACUGUAGAACUUGAAUCAUUGUGAAGUAACUAGAAUAUGUAGUGUAGCGGUGAAAUGCUUAGAUAUUACAUGGAAUACCAAUUGCGAAGGCAGGUUACUAACAAUGUAUUGACCGCUGAUGGACGAAAGCGUGGGUAGCGAACAGGAUUAGAUACCCUGGUAGUCCACGCCGUAAACGAUGGAUACUAGCUGUUCGGAAGUAAUUCUGAGUGGCUAAGCGAAAGUGAUAAGUAUCCCACCUGGGGAGUACGGGCGCAAGCCUGAAACUCAAAGGAAUUGACGGGGGCCCGCACAAGCGGUGGAGCAUGUGGUUUAAUUCGAUGAUACGCGAGGAACCUUACCAGGGCUUAAAUGUAGUAUGACAGGUUUGGAAACAGACUUUUCUUCGGACAUAUUACAAGGUGCUGCAUGGUUGUCGUCAGCUCGUGCCGUGAGGUGUCAGGUUAAGUCCUAUAACGAGCGCAACCCCUGUUGUUAGUUGCCAGCGAGUCAUGUCGGGAACUCUAACAAGACUGCCGGUGCAAACCGUGAGGAAGGUGGGGAUGACGUCAAAUCAUCACGGCCCUUACGUCCUGGGCUACACACGUGCUACAAUGGCAGGUACAGAGAGCAGCCACUUCGCAAGGAGGAGCGAAUCUAUAAAGCCUGUCUCAGUUCGGAUUGGAGUCUGCAACCCGACUCCAUGAAGCUGGAAUCGCUAGUAAUCGGAUAUCAGCCAUGAUCCGGUGAAUACGUUCCCGGGCCUUGUACACACCGCCCGUCAAGCCAUGGAAGCUGGGGGUACCUGAAGUCGGUGACC